CCCCUUUGUACUUCUCUGUGCAAGGAGGCCGCCAUGGACGCCUGAGGUCCUCCGCUCCGACCCACACCCCGGCGGCCUUGCCGACGUCUUCGCCGAGGUGAGCCGCAACCUUGAUGGAGGUCCGGCUUCCGGAUCCGAGCCGCAGACACCCACCCGUUGUUUUCGUCUGCUUCCGCUCCUGCUCCGUCGUUCUCACGCGACCAUCUUGACUCCCUCCCGCACGCACGAGCAGCAGGAAGAUGCAGUUCUUCGUCAAGACCUCACAGCUGUGGAUACUGUGGCUACACAUUGAACUUGAGCUCCUCAACACGGAACACGGCCAACAUUGGAUCCAAGUACGGGAAGCAGAUCAGGAAAGGUGCUCUGCUCUUGCGCACGUUUGGUGGCAUCUCCAGCACAGCCGUGCUUCUUGAGGCGACCGGCGUGAUGGCGGGUGUGUAUGGCGGCGACCACAAGCUCUCCGGGAGCUCCGCAUCUGAGUCUCGGCCAUCCUCCACAGCAAGGAGCUGGGCCAAGGGAGCUAGCAGCGCUACUGGUUUCUUGAGGACGGAUCGUGUAAGAUGGCGC